GUACCCUGCUCAAGUCUUCAACAAUGAAAAUCACAGACUUAACUUGUAUGGAGAAAAUGUUGAGGUAGAUUAUCGAGGUUAUGAAGUGACAGUUGAAAAUUUUAUGCGGGUUUUGACUGGGCGCCAUGAGGCUGCUGUUCCAAGGUCAAAGCGUCUUUUAAGUGAUGAAGGAAGUCACAUUCUCCUGUACAUGACGGGACAUGGAGGAGAUGAAUUCUUAAAAUUUCAGGACUCUGAAGAGCUCCAAAGUCAUGAUUUAGCUGAUGCUGUGAAGCAAAUGAAGGAAAAGCAUAGGUUCAAGGAAUUGCUGAUAAUGGUGGAUACUUGCCAAGCUGCCACUCUAUUCAAUCAGCUUCAUUCACCGGGUG
rnacentral:misc_RNA from 1 species